UAACCAUUCAUUGUAUAAUCUUUUUUUUUUUGUUUGUUUCAGGCGAAGUGUAGGCAAAACUAUUCCUUCUGACUCAUUUGGACGAGGUUUUUUAUCCCUUACGAGAUGGAGGAUAAUGCUCCGGAGCAGGUGGAAGAGUCUGCAGUUCAGACGGAGACCUCGGGGACAACAAAAGAGGUAAAGACGGAUCCUGACUAUAAAUCAAGAGGCCGUGGAGUCAGGGGGCGUGGUCGAGGUGGCCAGGUGGGACGAGGAGGCCGUAGUGGACGCGGAAGGAUGAUGAAAGGUUUUGGCCCACAAGGUCGAGGAAGGGCAAGGAAUCGUGAUGGGUUCAUGAAUGGAUUUGGACCAAUUAGGAGGGGACUGGGUAGAUCACUGCCAUAUUUGGAUAUGCGAGGCAGAAAACGAGGAAGAGGUGAUGCUAUUGGCAUGUGUGUAGGACCACCUCCUCUUCCUCCUCCUCCACCACCACCCAUGCAUCUAAGGGGACCUCCGAUGCACAGGUAUGGUCCACCUCCACCACUUCCACCACCUCCACCUGGGCAUCCUCCUUUCAGAGGGUUUCCUCUGCGCCCAAGAGGACGGGGCUUGAUGCUCUCCGGUUCCCAUCGCCACUUCCACCCCAGAGGGGGGACUUAGUCACCCUUUCGGAAGGCACGGGGACAUGGCGGCAGGACACUACACCCCGCUCUCUCCCUCUGCCCCAGUGAUGUGCAGUGACUCGCUCCCUAUCCCCUUCCCCAAUAACCAAGCCAAGCCAUCAACUUUAUAGUAAGGAAGUUUUUCAGGAGUCUCCAGUGAUGUGGCAGCUCGUCUACAGACCCCUUGUGCGUGACCUAUGCAUCAUGUGAUAAUUUCUACUGGGGGACAACCAGACACCAUCUUUCCUGUAAGCAAGGCUUAAUCUGUCUUAAAUAUGGUUCAUUUUUGUGUUGUUUUUGGUUGUUCCGAUGAUUCAAAUAGAGAAAAAGAUUAAAGAUUUUACCAUCUCCCUGGAAUUUUGUCUUGAACUUCUGAUUGUGGCUUACGAACUUGACUUGGGCAUUUCUUUAGAAAGGAAAUAUCACUGAUCUGGGAGUGGGAGAUUUUCUUUUUCACAGCGGUAGAAAGAACCCAGUGCACUUUUUUAUUCAGUACAUUUCAGGCAUUUAGUGGAUGCUCUUAUCCAGAGUGAUGUACAAUGUAUCCAGAGCAGUUAGGUGCCUUGCUCAAGGGUACUUCAGCCAUUCCUGCUGGUCCAGGGAAUCAAACUGGCAACCUUUUGGUCCCAGAGCUGGUUCUCUAACCAUUAGGCCAUGGCUUCCCACUGUAUUCACUGUAACUGUCAGUGAAUCCCUUUGUUUCACUCCAGUUUCAAGCCCACAACAACGAUGCUAUGUGAGAACAGCUCUCUCCAAGGUAUGCCAUACAGCCGCAGUGUGCGGCUACAAUCUUGCCAUGUUCUUCACUGACAAUCCACGGAGUUAAAGGUUUUUCGGUCAUUCUUUGCAAGAGAUUAACCUGGAAUAGAAUAUAGGUUGUAUUCAGUCACAUGACUUUUGCUUGCGAGUUUACUUCCGGUGCAUGAAGUGGUGGUCAGGCAAACCGAUUUGGCUGCCAUUAUGCAGAGCUAGUGAAACCAUCUUCGACUAUUUUCACAGUUUAGAUGCCAAUGCACAGUCAAAAUACCUUCAGAAAGUUGCUCUUUGUGACGGGAUAGAUCCUUACACACUAGUAAAGAAGGAUUUCUCUGAUGAUUUGAAAAAAUUAUCCAUGCAUUGAGUUCCCCGACAUCUCAAACUACUUGGUACUGCAGACCUAGUUCUACACGAUCAAACAGAUGAAAACCUGGAAGAGCAUGGAGGCGUACAACUUUUUACAUGUGGCUAGAUUAAAGAUCUGGGGAUCAGGAUACUACAAGAUAAAUCCUGUAUCAUUUUUGCCCAGGUAAGUAGAAAUUUUUGGUCUUUUCAUACGUGUCUUUGCGGUGGUAGCUAGGACACUACAAGAUUUAGUAUUGGGUGUAAACACACCACAGCCACUCGAUUCUCAAUCCUCCCUGCUCUUCUCUUCCAGCAAACGAUAAGGUUUUUUUUUUUAAUUAAAACAGAGAAAAUGCAGUGAGAAGGUACAUUCCAACAUCUAUGUAGGUAAUGCUAGGCCACAAAAUCUACAUCGUCGCUCCAAUCGUUUCGAGGAAUUUUGUAUGGAUCAUAACCACUAAUAAACUCUAAUUUCUAUGUAUAUCUAUCCUUUGCUUCUUUCUGACUAAGAUUAUCCAAGUAAUCCAGUAGUAAAGCUUUUUUAGCUGUCAUUUUCUUUGAACUACAGACAUCUGACAUCUUCAGUAUCGCUUGUCCCCCAGGACAAGGGUAGCAAUGGUUGCUAACCUAAUAAGUGUGAUGUCAGUGCAA